rnacentral:rRNA from 1 species
UGCUGGAAUGCUCUUAGAAUGAAAGCUCCGGCGCUUGAGGAUGGGUCUGCGGCCUAUCAGGUUGUAGUGGGGAUAACUGCCCCACUAGCCGACGACGGGUACGGGCCUUGAGAGAGGGAGCCCGGAGAUGGACUCUGAGACACGAGUCCAGGCCCUAAGGGGCGCAGCAGGCGCGAAAACUACGCAAUGCACGAAAGUGCGACGUGGGGACUCCAAGUGCUUGUGGGUAUUUGCCUGCAAGCUUUUCCCAAGCCUAAAAAGCUUGGGGAAUAAGGGCUGGGUAAGACCGGUGCCAGCCGCCGCGGUAAUACCGGCGGCCCAAGUGGCAAUCGCUAUUAUUGGGUCUAAAGCGUCCGUAGCCGGCCAGGUAAAUCCUUAGAUAAAUCGGACAGCUUAACUGUUCGGCCUCUUGGGAGACUGCUUGGCUUGAGACCGGGAGAGGUUAGAGGUACUCCUGGGGUAGGGGUGGAAUCCUGUAAUCCUGGGGGGACCACCAGUGGCGAAGGCGUCUAACUUGAACGGGUCUGACGGUGAGGGACGAAGGCCAGGGGCGCAAACCGGAUUAGAUACCCGGGUAGUCCUGGCUGUAAACGCUGCGGGCUUGGUGUUGGGGGUCCCGUGAGGGCACCCAGUGCCGUAGAGAAGUUGUUAAGCCCGCCACCUGGGGAGUACGGCCGCAA